rnacentral:pre_miRNA from 1 species
CCUGCCCCGCGGCCACGCCCCCCGGAGAACGCCUCGGCGCGCGGCCGCCGGAGCCGCCGUUUAAUUGGGGCUGUCAGGCCGCGGUGCGCGCGGAGGGCCGGGCGGGCGGGACGGAGGCCGG